UACGUAGGGACCAAGCGUUGUUCGGAUUUACUGGCGUAAAGGGCGCGUAGGCGGCUUGACAAGUCACUUGUGAAAUCUCCGGGCUUAACUCGGAACGGCCAAGUGAAACUGUCAUGCUAGAGUGCAGAAGGGGCAAUCGGAAUUCUUGGUGUAGCGGUGAAAUGCGUAGAUAUCAAGAGGAACACCUGAGGUGAAGACGGGUUGCUGGGCUGACACUGACGCUGAGGCGACGAAAGCGUGGGGAGCGAACAGG
rnacentral:rRNA from 1 species